UACGUAGGGUGCAAGCGUUGUCCGGAAUUAUUGGGCGUAAAGAGCUCGUAGGCGGUGUGUCACGUCGUUCGUGAAAACCUGCAGCUUAACUGUGGGCGUGCGGUCGAUACGGGCAUCACUGGAGUUCGGCAGGGGAGACUGGAAUUCCGGGUGGAGCGGUGAAAUGCGUAGAGAUCCGGAGGAACACCAGGGGCGAAAGCGGUCGACUGGUCGAGUUCUGACACUGAGGCGCGACGGCGUGGGGAGCAAACCGG
rnacentral:rRNA from 1 species